rnacentral:lncRNA from 1 species
UUUUAUUCAUAACGGGUAACUGUGAAACACCGCGCUGAAUCCACAAAUUAUAUUAAUCACGUGCAGUUACAAACCCAGCAAAAUAGUAUCCAGAAGUAGUUAGCUACAAGAUUAAUCACAGAAUCACAUCACAGAAUCAAUUAGACCUCUGAGAUACCGAAUCCAACCUAUAGCCGACCACCACCAUGUCAACUAGACCAUGGCACUGAGUGCCACGUCCAGUCUUUCCUUAAAAACAUUCAGGGAUGGUAACUCCACCACCCCUCUGGGCAGCCCAUUCCAUUAACCUUUCUGUAAAGAAAUUCCUCCUAAUGUCCAACCUAAACCUCCCCAGGUGCAGCUUAAGACUGUGUCCUCUUGUCCUGUCGCAGGCUGCCUGGCAGGAGAGACUGAGCCCUAUCUGUCUACAGUCUUCUUUCAAAGCAAUUGGAUAGAGCAUAAGGUCACCUCUGUCUCCUUUUCUCCAGGCCAAACAACCCCAGCUUCCUCUGCUGUUCCUCAUCAGAUUUGAACUCCAAACCCUUCCCAAAUUCCACUGUCCUUCUCCGGACAUGCUCCAGCCCCUCAACGUCCUUCCUGAAUUGAAGGGCCCAGAACUGGGCACAGGACUCCAGGUGUGGCCUCACCAGUGCUGAGGACAGGGGAAGAUGUUUGGCUGCACCAGUCACUAGCUUUAUUGCAUGAAUUAAUGUGGAUUUGCACAAUGCCAUGGCAUCAAUGGUUUCACAUGAUUCUACAAUUAAAUGAAAAGAUUUACAAGUAACUGCCAUGUGAGUAAUCUAAUGUGUUACCAUGAUUAUUUCCAUAACUUUCAAUAGAGAUAUUUUCAGGGCAAACUUCCAGUAUCCCUGUUUUGAACAGUUAUAGCUCUGCAUAGACACCCUGAGCAAAGCAGAAGCAUUCAUUGGAAAUGUGCAUCAGAAGACACACAGCCAUCUGGAGGACAUGCAACUGCCACAGGACAGCCAGUAAAAUCCUGCUCUUUAAAAUCUCUUGCAUCUCUCACCUUUGCUUGUGGCUGCUGCAGUGGUUUCAGUUACCUCAUUCCAUGAAGGAACUUACUGGAUUGAUUUUUACUCUCUUCAGUGAGAGCAAUGCCUUGUGUUCUGUUCAACCUAUUACAUUGUCUAUCCACUGCGGAAUAAUUGGAUGAAGGUAAUAGAGAUGCUGCCACCUAAGUGCCUUCAAAUGUAUUAUUAUUAUGCCCUUACAUACACAUGAGCAACUUUCCUGGGUUUACAGGGAAGGAAAAAAAAAAAAAAAAGAACAUCAAUAUGUCAUCCACAUCUUUUCCUGGCAUUAGUUUUGCAAUUGAAGGCCAACCAUUUCAGAUUGGCACUUAGAGAAAGUUGAAACAUCAUCUUUUUA